UACGGAGGGAGCUAGCGUUGUUCGGAAUUACUGGGCGUAAAGCGCACGUAGGCGGCUUUGUAAGUUAGAGGUGAAAGCCCGGGGCUCAACUCCGGAACUGCCUUUAAGACUGCAUCGCUUGAAUCCAGGAGAGGUGAGUGGAAUUCCCAGUGUAGAGGUGAAAUUCGUAGAUAUUGGGAAGAACACCGGUGGCGAAGGCGGCGACCUGGUCCGAUACUGACGCUGAGGCGCGAAAGCGUGGGGAGCAAACAGG
rnacentral:rRNA from 1 species